AUACGGAAGGUCCGGGCGUUAUCCGGAUUUAUUGGGUUUAAAGGGAGCGCAGGCGGAGAUGCAAGCGUGACGUCAAAUUUCGGGGCUCAACCCCGUCUCGCGUCGCGCAAUGCGUCCCUUGUUUGCGGGAAGGGGAGGCGGAACUCGGUGUGUAGCGGUGAAAUGCAUAGACAUCACGAAGAACUCCGAUCGCGAAGGCAGCCUUCCGGCCCGUCAACGACGCUCAUGCUCGAAGGUGCGGGUAUCAAACAGGAUUAGAUACCCUGGUAGUCCGCACAGUAAACGAUGGACACCCGCGGUUUGGCCUGUAUGGCUGAGCCGCCAAGCGAAAGCGUUAAGUGUCCCACCUGGGGAGUACGCCGGCAACGGUGAAACUCAAAUGAAUUGGCGGGG
rnacentral:rRNA from 1 species